rnacentral:rRNA from 1 species
GAUGAACGCUGGCGGCGUGCCUAAUACAUGCAAGUCGAGCGAACGGACGAGAAGCUUGCUUCUCUGAUGUUAGCGGCGGACGGGUGAGUAACACGUGGAUAACCUACCUAUAAGACUGGGAUAACUUCGGGAAACCGGAGCUAAUACCGGAUAAUAUUUUGAACCGCAUGGUUCAAAAGUGAAAGACGGUCUUGCUGUCACUUAUAGGUGGAUCCGCGCUGCAUUAGCUAGUUGGUAAGGUAACGGCUUACCAAGGCAACGAUGCAUAGCCGACCUGAGAGGGAGACCGGCCACACUGGAACUGAGACACGGUCCAGACUCCUACGGGAGGCAGCAGUAGGGAAUCUUCCGCAAUGGGCGAAAGCCUGACGGAGCAACGCCGCGUGAGUGAUGAAGGUCUUCGGAUCGUAAAACUCUGUUAUUAGGGAAGAACAUAUGUGUAAGUAACUGUGCACAUCUUGACGGUACCUAAUCAGAAAGCCACGGCUAACUACGUGCCAGCAGCCGCGGUAAUACGUAGGUGGCAAGCGUUAUCCGGAAUUAUUGGGCGUAAAGCGCGCGUAGGCGGUUUUUUAAGUCUGAUGUGAAAGCCCACGGCUCAACCGUGGAGGGUCAUUGGAAACUGGAAAACUUGAAUGCAGAAGAGGAAAGUGGAAUUCCAUGUGUAGCGGUGAAAUGCGCAGAGAUAUGGAGGAACACCAGUGGCGAAGGCGACUUUCUGGUCUGUAACUGACGCUGAUGUGCGAAAGCGUGGGGAUCAAACAGGAUUAGAUACCCUGGUAGUCCACGCCGUAAACGAUGAGUGCUAAGUGUUAGGGGGUUUCCGCCCCUUAGUGCUGCAGCUAACGCAUUAAGCACUCCGCCUGGGGAGUACGACCGCAAGGUUGAAACUCAAAGGAAUUGACGGGGACCCGCACAAGCGGUGGAGCAUGUGGUUUAAUUCGAAGCAACGCGAAGAACCUUACCAAAUCUUGACAUCCUUUGACAACUCUAGAGAUAGAGCCUUCCCCUUCGGGGGACAAAGUGACAGGUGGUGCAUGGUUGUCGUCAGCUCGUGUCGUGAGAUGUUGGGUUAAGUCCCGCAACGAGCGCAACCCUUAAGCUUAGUUGCCAUCAUUAAGUUGGGCACUCUAAGUUGACUGCCGGUGACAAACCGGAGGAAGGUGGGGAUGACGUCAAAUCAUCAUGCCCCUUAUGAUUUGGGCUACACACGUGCUACAAUGGACAAUACAAAGGGCAGCGAAACCGCGAGGUCAAGCAAAUCCCAUAAAGUUGUUCUCAGUUCGGAUUGCAGUCUGCAACUCGACUACAUGAAGCUGGAAUCGCUAGUAAUCGUAGAUCAGCAUGCUACGGUGAAUACGUUCCCGGGUCU